rnacentral:rRNA from 1 species
GACGAACGCUGGCGGCGUGCUUAACACAUGCAAGUCGAACGGAAAGGCCCUGCUUUUGUGGGGUGCUCGAGUGGCGAACGGGUGAGUAACACGUGAGUAACCUGCCCUUGACUUUGGGAUAACUUCAGGAAACUGGGGCUAAUACCGGAUAGGAGCUCCUGCUGCAUGGUGGGGGUUGGAAAGUUUCGGCGGUUGGGGAUGGACUCGCGGCUUAUCGGCUUGUUGGUGGGGUAGUGGCUUACCAAGGCUUUGACGGGUAGCCGGCCUGAGAGGGUGACCGGCCACAUUGGGACUGAGAUACGGCCCAGACUCCUACGGGAGGCAGCAGUGGGGAAUAUUGCACAAUGGGCGGAAGCCUGAUGCAGCAACGCCGCGUGCGGGAUGACGGCCUUCGGGUUGUAACCCGCUUUCGCCUGUGACGAAGCGUGAGUGACGGUAAUGGGUAAAGAAGCACCGGCUAACUACGUG